rnacentral:rRNA from 1 species
AUUGAACGCUGGCGGAAUGCUUUACACAUGCAAGUCGAACGGCAGCACGGACUUCGGUCUGGUGGCGAGUGGCGAACGGGUGAGUAACAUAUCGGAACGUAUCCAAUAAUGGGGGAUAACGAGUCGAAAGAUUCGCUAAUACCGCAUACGCCCUACGGGGGAAAGCUGGGGACCUUCGGGCCUGGCGUUAAUGGAGCGGCCGAUAUCUGAUUAGCUAGUUGGUGAGGUAAAGGCUCACCAAGGCGACGAUCAGUAGCUGGUCUGAGAGGAUGACCAGCCACACUGGAACUGAGACACGGUCCAGACUCCUACGGGAGGCAGCAGUGGGGAAUUUUGGACAAUGGGCGCAAGCCUGAUCCAGCCAUUCCGCGUGAGCGAAGAAGGCCUUCGGGUUGUAAAGCUCUUUCGCAAGGGAAGAAAACUUAGCCACUAACAUUGGUUGAGGUUGACGGUACCUUGAUAAGAAGCACCGGCUAACUACGUGCCAGCCGCCGCAGUAA